UCCACCUUAUGUAUAGGGUCAUUUCCCACACCUUGAACCAUGCUCUAAUAACUGAGAACAGCUCUAUAAACCCACCACAUUACCCUAAUAGAGAUCUAAGUUAAAUCUUAAAGAUUCAUGACCAUUGGAUUAUCCAUAUAAUUGUAUCUUAGAUAUACCCUAAACUCUUCUCUGUAUUCCUUCAGCCGUCGGAACCCCAUAAAACAAAUUCUUGUGUUCAUUUUUUUCUGGUCUCAAAUUUCUUUCUCGAUCAUGAUGGAUUCUUCGACUAACAUCUCUUACCAAUCUGAACACCAAUCUUACUGUAUCCAUCAUGAUGGAUUUCAAUCACACAAUGAUUUUUCCUCUCCAAACUCAAGUUUAUUAUCCUCCUCUGGUAUGUGAUUCUCGAUUUAGCUUCUUCAGGUUCUUGAGGAGGAAUUGGUUCUAUUCUGAAGAAAGAAUAGGACCAAUCUGAAGAAAGCAUGAUGUGAUGGAGCUGUUUAUAGUGGUACUCUAGAAAAUUGUCAAAGUCUUGCAAGUUGCUGGAUUUUACAGUCAAAAAUCUAUUCUGAGAAGAAUGCGCGAUUAAAUGAGAGAUCAAUCUAGUUUUUCUUAACUUGCGUGAAUCUACACCCAAGAAAUUUUCGGAUGUCAGCAACAAGACGCCUGAGAACAAAUGAUGGAGCAUGGUUACCGAUAGGUGUGGAAACCCUGAGAAAUUUUUCCAACCUCUGCAGCAAUGGGGUUAUGAUCCUGACUCGUGAGACUAUAGUUUUCAGUAACACUGAGUUACGGGCCGUGUGUGCAUGAAUUUAACUGAGAAAGGGAAUUCAACUGGAUCUGUUUCAUGUGGGAUGGUAAAAUGGAACUGCAUUCCGCAUGUGAUCACUGGUAUACUUCUUUAAGUGGAUUUUGCAAAAAACUUAAACCACAGGAAGAACUCCUGGCAGUUUUGAAUUACUAAUGCAGUGGCUUAUUAGGUGUUUCGGAUUGGUAACAAAUUUUCUAUCAUUUGUGCCUCUGCUUGUUUUUAACAAAUUUAAACUGAAAUGAAUAUAAGUAAGUUCCAUUAUGAUUGGUAACAUUAGUGAAUGGGCAUGGCACUCUCAGUUCUAUUUUACUUUCGGAUUCCUUCUUUCUUAGUUAGACAUCUUUUCUGGUUUAAAUUUUGAUUGUUGAACUUUUGGCUUAAUGAGAGGUCUGAAUUGUUAGGUUGUUGCAUUCAUUUCAUUCUCAUCCGUCACCUACUACUCGUUAACA